UUUUUUGCCUUUUCUAGGGCCACUCCUGCGGCAUAUGGAGGUUCCCAGUACAGGGGUUGAAUCGGAGCUGUAGCCGCCGGCCUACACCACAGCCACAGCAACACGGGAUCCGAGCCACGUCUGCGACCUACACCACAGCUCACAGCAACGCCAGAUCCUUAACCCACGGAGCAAGGCCAGGGAUGGAACCUGCAACCUCAUGGUUCCUAGUCGGAUUCGUUAACCACUGCGCCACAACGGGAACUCCAAGGUGAUAUGUUUAAAUUGAUAAGUAUAAAAUGGAUUUUCAAUGACUACAAAAUUAAAAUGAAUAAUUAGACAAAAAUGAAAUAAAAUUAAAAAGGAACACAAGAAAAUCUGAUCCAGGAGUUCCCAUGGUGGUGCAGCGGAAAUGAAUCCGAGUAGGAACCAUUGAGGUUUCAGGUUUGAUCCUCAGCCUCGCUCAGUGGGUUAAGGCUCCAGCAUUGCCGUGAGCGGUGGUGUAGGUCACAGAUGCGGCUCGGAUCCUGCGUUGCUGUGGCUGUGGUGUCGGCCAGCAGCUACAGCUCUGAUUAGACCCCUGGCCUGGGAAUCUCCAUAUGCCACUGGUGGGGCCCUAUAAAAGACAAAGGCAAAAAAAAAAAAAAUCUGAUCCAGAAUUAGGGUGACCUAGCAUCCCAGUGUGCCUUGGACUAAGAGAUUCCCCAAACAAAACCUUUCAGUGCUAAAAUCAGGACAGUUCUGGGAAAACCACUGCAGGUGGACACCUUCUGUGGACCUAACUAUUAUUUUUUUAAUCAUACUCAUUCCUCACAGAAGGUGGGAAUAAGGGGAGAAAACAAUAAGUAAAACUUGGAAUAAAACUGUUAUCAAGGAGUUCCCAUUGCGGCUUAGUGAGUUAAGAACCCUAUACAGUAUCUGUGGGGAUGGGGGUUCGAUCCCUGGCCUCACUCAGUGGGUUAAGGAUCUGGCAUUACCGUAGCUGUGGUGUAGGCUGGCAGCUGCAGUUCUGACUCAACCCCUAGCCUGGGAACUUCCAUAUGCCAUGGGUGUGGCUGUAAAAAGAAAAGAAAAUAUUUUCAAGAAAAUUGUUAUUUUAAUUAAACACUAAUGUCUCUGUAAUCCCCUAGGGAAUAUUUCUUGUAUACCCGAAAGCAAACAAAGAUGUGAACCUCCUAGGCAAAUACUAGCUCAUGCUUUGGGCACUGACUAAAAAUCACCUGCUUAACCUUUACUUAUCACCAAAUGUGGAGAUGACUUUAGCAACUGCACAAAACAUCACAACGCAAGUUCCCGUACCAGCUUUGUCCUAUUCUAGUAUUCUUUAACUCUAAUGGUCCUAUUUAAAAUUUUAUUAUUAUAAUUAUUAUUUUGUCUUUUUAGGGCCACACCCACAGCAUGCGGAAAUUCCCAAGCUAGGGGUUGAAUCAGAGCUACAGCUGCUGGCCUACACCAACCACAGCCACAGCAAUGUGGGAUCUGAGCCCCACCUGUGACCUACACCACAGCUCACAGCAACGCCAGAUGCUUAACCCACUGAGCAAGGCCAGGGGUUGGGCCUGUGUCCUCAUGGAUACGAGUCAGAUUCAUUUUUGCUGCGCCACGGUGGGAACUCCUCCUACAGUCCUAUUUUAUUUGUGUGUGUAUUAAAAUCUUAUAUGUUGUAUAUUUAAAAAAACUACUAAAUCCUUGUUUUUCAAACAAGACAGGAUUUUAAUCAGUGAUAUGAAACUGAGGACAAUUUCUUCCCCUGAAGGGAACGGGCAAUAUCUGGAGACAUUUCUGACUGAUACAAGUGGAGAGAAUAAACCUGUUUGAAAUCAAACAACAUACCCCAAGCAUAUGCUGUGGUACGUUAUGUGUAAGUUAUGAUUGCAAAUCUGAAUUAUAUUUAUCUCUGAUAUUUCUAGGUAAUGUCAAACAGGAAUUCAAUGUUGCCAAAAGAUUAGAUACAUAUUCCUAGAAAGAGUCCCAGUUGUUGCUAGUGUAUUUCCCACAAAGCCUAUCAUAUUAAAAUGAGCUUUCACACACACACACACACACACACACACACACACACACACACACACACUCUUCUAUACAAAGAAGUUGAGAUCGAGGGGCUGCCAUUUUUUGAAAUAGCAACUUUGUUUUCGAAGACAAUGGAUCCAGCCUGAAUCAGGGGAAAAGAGCAGAGGAACAUAUUGUCAGAGAUGAUAAACCUUGUGUUCAGCGGAAGAAGGCAACACACAAGUGUGGAUAUCGAAAAGGCAGCCAGAGGAAGGAAGAAACAGCUAUAAAAAGCAGAUGGUUUGAAGAGAAAGGAAAUGGAAAACAGAAUCCAAAAAAAUAUAUGGGUCAUAACAAUAACAUAAAAGAUUCUGGCAGAAAUGUGACAAACUGCAAGAGAGAGAGAGAGAGUCACAGAGAGAUUAAAAAUAGAAGCAUUUGGGGGCAAUAAAGAUAAAUAUCUACUACCUGCAUAUUUUUUUGAGUCUAAAAGUGAGCAGUUUAAAUUGAUCCAUGCUAAAGCUCAAUAAACACUCUCCAGGAGAAGCACAAACCUGAGUGGCUAGUCCUAGAUGCACGACUAAAUAUAAAGACCAAUUAAGUCAUUUAGAAAUUUACACUGCACUUGAAAAGAGGUUUUAUGCACUGUUCUUCUUCCUUGCUCACCAGGGUCUGAGAGGAUUGUAAAAUGAGUUGCUUCUUUCAAUACCAACGGUAGCUUUCUCAAUGAUCCAUUCAUACAUCCUCAUUAGGUCCCCUCUGGAAAGUAUCUGCAAGGUACAGAGAGAAGCUACACCGCUCCUCCGGGCCAAGAGAGCAGAUCUCUCGCACACAACUAUGCAGCCACCCACUGCCCAUCCAGAAGCCAGCAAAUGCCUCCUUCCCACUGGGAUGCCUGACUCCAGCCCUACUCUUUAUAAAUUUCACGUCUAGAAUUCAGAUCUGACACUGCCUUGGCCUUUCUGGCUCCCAACAUGAUGAAGCGUUUCCAGAUCUAGCAAGAAAAAUAUGCUACAAGCUGAGGAGUAAUAUAAGUAGAAACAAGGGCACAGGACCAAGAGAGAGUUGCUUUCGGGGUGUGAAUCUGGAUCAGCAAGUUGGAAUGGCAGAGACUGAAGGUGGUCAGCAAAGUCACAAAGUGAGGAAGCCCGAGGAGUCCCAAUCCCACAACGAGCUUUUUACGGGUAUGUUUCUACAGAUAGCUCUGGCCUAUUUUUUGAAAGCAGAUUUAACCAUAAGGUAUUUGAUUUCUGUGCAUUUAGUAACUUGAAUAUAAUUAUGUUCCCCCACUCAUUCAAUGCUCUGCUCUUACAAUUGUAAGACAUGCCCUUACAAUUCAAGGCAACUUGUUCGCAAUCUAGAAGACAUUUCUGGGCACCCUAGACUAUUUUUCAUAUGGCCAAUUUUUGCUUAAUCUUGAACAUCUAAAGAGCAGUCAUGGGCUAACUAAAUUCUGGCUAAUAGUUCACCAAACCAUUUCUAGGCACACAGCUAGACUCUAUUUCCUAGCCUUUCUAACAAGUAGGUAUCAUCACAUGACUGAAUUCUGACCAACAGGACAGAGUAAGUGAGACACGGAAUUUCUAAAUCUCUUACCCGGUCCUUCACUUUCUCUUUCGCUGAUGGUUAGCUAAAGGUGGGAUGAUGGAACCACAAGCUAAAAAAGAAAAAAAAUCUGGUUUCCUGAGUUACCAUAAGCCUGGGUCAGCAAACUUCCUCUAAAGGACCAGACGGUAAAUAUUUCAGUCUUUGUGGGCCAUACAGUCUCUGUUGUAAUUAUUCCACUCUGCUAUUAUAGCACAAAAGCAGCCACAGACAACACAGAAACGAAUGUCCAAAACCUUACUUACUAAAAUUGGGUGCCAUCCCAGAUUUGACCUAUGGACCAUGCUUUCUCAACCUCUGAUGAUAUGGAAGAGCCAAAAGAGUGAAAAAUAAACUCCCACUGUGCUAAGCCAUUGAGACCUAGAGUUUUCUGGUAGAGAAGUUAGCUUUACCUUAACUAACACAUUGUCCUGUUGACAAAAUUUACUCUAACACAUUUUGUGAUGGGAAAUUGUGAACUUGCCCACCCCAGGUUUUCAGUUUUACAAAAGAGUCCUUUGCGACAUCAAAAUACAUUCCAAAAAAGAAAAAAAAAAAAAAAAAAAGGAGAGGGGGCGACAGAGAUGGCUUAUUGUUUUCGUUUGUUUGGGUUUUUUCUUUGACGGAGACUGAAUCAUUUAUUUUAUUAAAAAAUUAGGUGAAUUUUUGCCACGGCCAUCUUAUCCAGUGACUAUCUCCAGGCAGAAUUGCAACAUUUUUAAACAAAUCACUCUAUUUACUGAGAAUGGUGGAGAAAUCCUGCCAUGUGUCCAAUUAAUGAUCUCUCCCACAGAUAUUGAGUUUCUCCAUUGGCUCCAGUGACUAGGAAUCCAAGGAAAAGCAUUUUUUAAAAGCAAAAAAUGGAGCAACAGUGGGGACUGGGGGAAGAUGAAGAGUUCAAAGUGAAAUCUGUCAAAGAUAAAUUCAGCAUUCCUGUAAGAAUCCACAGUUUUUCUUCUUUCCCAUUAUGUAACUCAGGAUCCACAAAAAGCAAUAAGAAUAACACUGAUUUUGAUUGUGGUUUAAAAAUUGUUGUGAGAGGGAGACAGAGAGGGAGGUUGAAGAGUAAGGACUUAAAAGAGUUAAAUAGACGUAGGUUGGAAUUCCCGCACUGUCCAAGCCCAGACCUAAGUUUCUACAUAUAUUUAAUUGUAAUAAUAAUAAAGUGGUUAUAGCAUCUAGCAUGUGGUAGGUACCCAAAACAUGUUAGGAAUUAUCGCUAGUUUUGAUUGCCAGUUGCUGCCAAAUUACAAAAUUAUCAUUUCUUAAAAAACUCCAAGUUUUUGUGUGAAGAAAAAGGUAUCAUGCAAGACGUAGAAUUUUGUGUUCUGUUGAUAAUUAAUAAGUUAAUCCAAACAGCUGUAGCUUAUUUCACUAAACGUGCCCUUUUUCCAUAGCUUUUGAGCAAGGUAUCUUAGAUAAAAGUUUGUUCCAGCACAUUUUUCUAAUCCUUUGCACUUUUGAACUCUCCUUUAACUGGAACUUUCCAUAUUCCAUUUAUCCUCAGCUUUUAAAACGUGGACUUGAUCAUGUCUCUUUGACAUCCUCCCACAUUCUCUUCAGGGUAAGUCCAACCUCCUUACUGGGCAUUUAAAGCCAUCUUCCCAAUUGCCUUAUUUCAACUUCCUCUCUCUUAACUACGUCCUAGAAUUGGUACAAAAGUUGUAGUUUUCUAAAUAAAGCCAAGUAUUUCAUCCUUUGGGAAAUGCUAUUCUAUGUAAGAUGCCCUUUCUUCCAUAUUUAUUUGGUUAAACAAAUGCAUUCUUCAAAACAUGGCUGAAAUGUUAACUUUGCUCAUAUAUGGAAAGUUAAUCACUGUCACAUUUGUUCUACUAUCAAUUCUUAAUAUUACUAAUUUUUGCAUUCAAUUACUCAAUACUUGUAUAGUAUAAUAUAAUAGGUAAUAAAUUGACCACCAACUCUAUAUGAGGCACUCUGCUGCCAUAUAGUUUACAUACGACAUCUCAUUUAUUCUUUGUAACAAUUUUACGUGGUUCAUUUUUAUCAUUGCCCUCAUUUUACAGAUGAGGAAGCUGAGACAUAAGUGUUAAUUGACUUGCCAAGGUCGUUUGUUAAGUAAAUAUUGGGGCAUUCUAAAAUGAGAAUUGCAGUCAGCAGAU
rnacentral:lncRNA from 1 species